UCGUGUGGAUGGGUGUUUGAUGUGCAUUCAAGUACUUCUAAUAGUGCACAAUUGGAUAAUGAUGAACAGAAAAGAUAUCGAGCGAUGUUUUUUGAUGUUGUUGGCCCAAAAUUUUGGCUUCACUAUGAUCAAAAUGUGGAGGAACCUCCGAACAUGGAUGCUUAAAACUUUUAUGAUAUAUUGCAUGCAGUCCAACAACCAUUGUGGUCAGGAUGUA
rnacentral:lncRNA from 1 species